AUUGAACGCUGGCGGCAGGCCUAACACAUGCAAGUCGAGCGAGCGGCGGACGGGUGAGUAAUGUCUGGGAAACUGCCUGAUGGAGGGGGAUAACUACUGGAAAGGGUGGCAAAUACCGCAUACACUCAGCUUUGCCCAGAUGGGAUUAGCUGGUAGGUGGGGUAACGGCUCACCGAGGGGACGAUCCCUAGCUGUUCUGAGAGGAUGACCAGCCACACUGGAACUGAGACACGGUCCAGACUCCUACGGGAGGCAGCAGUGGGGAAUAUUGCACAAGGGGCGCAAGCCUGAUGCAGCCAUGCCGCGUGUGUGAAGAAGGCCUUCAGGUUGUAAAGCACUUUCAGCGGGGAGGCGUUACCCGCAGAAGAAGCACCGGCUAACUCCGUGCCAGCAGCCGCGGUAAUAC
rnacentral:rRNA from 1 species